rnacentral:lncRNA from 1 species
UGGCAUUGAGAGACGCUUGAUUUAGAUUACGUGAAUCUUUCCAUAAAUUUUUCUGGAGCAAACUUUGAUUGGAUUGGAAAGUGUCCUACUCAACCUGGAAAAGUAGAAUGUGGAUAUUAUGUAAUGAAGUUCAUGAAAGCAAUCAUUGAGGAUCCAACCAUAUUAACAAGAAGCAAGUUCAACAACUAAAGUUACAAUCAAGAAGAGAUAGAUGAUGUUCGAGUAGAGCGGGCUGACCUUGUUGAAACAUUACUCCAAGAUGAUGUAAAAUAGUUUGGUAAUUGGUAUAUUUUGCAAAGUAUAUAUUAAGCUGAGUUUUUGUGCAUGCCCAUGUAAAGUUUUAGAUUAGCUAGCUUUUUGUAAGCACUAGAAGUACAUGUAAUCUAAUCUCACCAAGACUCGCAGUUGGCAAUCUGUAUUUUGGAUGCCACGAGUCUUGGGAUAAUUUGUACACAUUGCUUGGAAUCUCCAUGAC